UCCAAGUGGAUUGGGAGCUAACGAACAAGUCCUCACGUGGUGUCUGCCGCUCCCACCUCUAUAGCAAAUCCCCUAUGCUCCCCUCCAUUGUCUUCAACCUCCAGCUCGUGGGGCCCUCUCCUCUCUGGUCCUGGCCGCUACCCCAUGGAGCCAAGCUCCUUCUCGGCUUCGUCCACACCUGUCACCAUCUCCCCCAGGCUGGCCUCCUCUCUCUCUCUCUCUAUUUCCUCUGGCCGCCGGCCUCCAUAGCACACGAGCACUUCCCCCAGCACGCAGCUCUGAGCUCCAUGGCGCUUUCCCUGCUCCUCCAUGGUGCCCAGAUCCGGCGACCCCCUGCUGGUCAAGUUCCCAGCCGCGCACCAGGACAGCGUCGACCCCCGCGGCGGCCUGGUACUCGCGCUGCUCCCCGAGCCGAGGACCUUGCACGCAACCUUGCACGCAGCAGCAAGCCCCGGAUCCCCUGCGUGUACGCGUGCUGCUCGUCCCGCGCCGUCGUCUUUGUGAUUUGGACAUCUCCAAUGCGAUGUCACAGACCCUUGGUGAGCCCCUUGAUUCGGUCGUCCUCGCUGCGCAGGUUCCCAGCGCCCUCGCCUGCUCGACGGGAUGCCCCGUCGAUCUGUGCAGCCACGGCGCGAUGUCACUGACUCUGAUAGCUGUCGAUGUCGUCCCUCGCGCAUGGCUCGUUCGGCGAAAAGCCCAAGUCGACAUGCAUGCAUGCGCAGGUCCAAAAAUCCUAUCCUAUCGCCAGGUUGUUCGAUUGGUAUUUUUGUGGAUUAAUCUAUUUAUACUUUGGUGGAUGUUGUGCAUGUGUGUAUAUGAGUAAAAAAUGAUUCGGUAUGAAUGAAGUUCGUAUAGAAAGAAAAUGAGUUAGAAAGAGGGCUCGGAUGUUUUUAUGUUCCUGACAGGAAUACAUGCGAUGCGUUGUUUGAUACAAAGACUACGUUUAAAAACGUGGAUUAUGUGAUGGAACCUCUAAGGUAUUAGGCUCACCUACAGAUUUCCUUGUCCCAAA